rnacentral:rRNA from 1 species
GAUGAACGCUAGCGGCGGGCUUAAUACAUGCAAGUCGAGGGGUAGCAAUACACCGGCGCACGGGUGCGUAACGCGUAUGCAAUCUACCUUUAUCUGGGGGAUAGCCCGGGGAAACCCUGAUUAAUACCGCAUAACAAAUUGAUUGGCAUCAAUUGAUUUUAAAAGAUUUAUCGGAUAGAGAUUAGCAUGAGUAAGAUUAGAGAGUUGGCGAGGGAACGGCUCACCAAGUAUACGAUCUUUAGGGGCUCUGAGAGGAGAAUCCCCCACACCGGCACUGAGAUCCGGGCCAGAAUCCUACGGGAGGCAGCAGUAGGGAAUAUUGGGCAAUGGGCGCAAGCCUGACCCAGCCACGCCGCGUGAAGGAAGAAGGCCCUCGGGGUUGUAAACUGCUUUUGACCGGGAAGAAAAGAACCUUUGCGAAGGGAGUUGACGGUACCGGCAGAAUAAGCCACGGCUAACUACGUGCCAGCAGCCGCCGUAACAC